ensembl:snRNA U6 U6 spliceosomal RNA
GUGCUCACUUCAGCAGCACAUAUACUAAAACUGGAACAAUACAGAGAAGAUUAGCAUGGCGUCUAUGCGGGGAUGACACACAGAUUCAUGAAGCAUUCCAUAUUUUU